rnacentral:rRNA from 1 species
GUGUCUCAGUAGCAGCCCCCGACCCCAACGGACUCUCAGCCGCCUCCUGCUCUGCACACCGCACACAGAAAAUGGCGGCGGCGGCGGUGCGAUGUGCUGAGGAGCUGGUUGAGAGAGAGAUGAGCGGACGCGACGCCUCCCACGACGCCGCGCACGCGCUCCGCGUCCGGGACCUCGCGCUCUCCCUCGCCGCCGAGCAGGGCGUCUCCUCCCCCGACCGCCUCCUCAUCGUGGAACUGGCUGCUCUCCUGCACGACAUCGGUGAUUACAAGUACACCAAGGAUAAUGUGGAGGAUAUGAGCAUCGUCAAAAGGUUUCUUGAAGAGGUGGGGUUGGAGGAGGGACAGAGGGAGGAAAUAGUGGCCAUUAUUACAGGGAUGGGAUUCAAAAAUGAGGUUUCAAAGAAGCUUAAUGCGGAGCCCACUCUUGAGUUUGCAAUCGUGCAAGAUGCAGAUCGUCUGGAUGCAAUUGGUGCAAUUGGUGUCGCAAGAUGUUUUACAUAUGGAGGGAGCAAGAACAGUGCAUUGCAUGAUCCUAAUGUACUUCCGCGGGAUAAUUUGUCAAAGGAGAAGUACAUGUCCAAGGAGGAGAAACAAACAUCAAUAAAUCAUUUCCAUGAGAAGCUUUUUAAGUUGAAGGACAUGAUGAAAACAGAGGCUGGGAAAAAGAGAGCUGAGAAAAGGCACAAAUUCAUGGAGAAUUUUGUGGCUGAAUUCUAUGAAGAGUGGAGUGGCAAGGCUUGAAGUUGACCAACCAGACCGUUGGCUGGGAGGGCAUGGCUUGAAGUUGGCCAACCAACUUUCACCAACUCACGUCGAUAAAAAGCCAUGGAUUACCAUCUGGUUUUACAUCACUGUUCAGGUUCCCAUGAAACUUUCCCCAAAACGCUAGAGCUUUGAAUAAUGAGUAAAUGACAAGACUCUUUACUAGAUAUCCUGUUGAGUCCCUGGUUGCUGCGUAUGAUUUUUUUCUGAUUAAAACUCUGAAAGAUUGCUCUUGGUAAUAUAAGCAGUUCU